GUUGUGUGUGCGUAAAGGAAGAAAGAAAACUGGGAGAGAGAAAAAUGUUAAAGAUAUAUAUGUAUGUAUGUAUGUAUGUAUGUAUGUAUGUAUGUAUAGAAAACUUAACAAAGAGAUUGAAGAUAUAUAUACAUAGACGACUCUAAGCGAAGGAAAGCAAGAUCCCCUUUUUUUUCUUCUUUUCUCUCUCAUAUGAUGUGAUGAUGAUUUCAUCAAUUUUGUUUUUUUCUCUUUAGAAAGGAAAAAAAAAAUAAUCAAAUAUUGAGAGAAGGAGUUGAACCCAUGAACUCCUAGACCAUAAUCUUAAUUUAUCACCUUUUCUAACAUUGGGCCAACUAAACAUAUAAUUUUGUUUCUGCGCAUGUUUUU
rnacentral:lncRNA from 1 species